GCAGAGGAAGCCCCGGCUAACUCUGUGCCAGCAGCCGCGGUAAUACAGAGGGGGCAAGCGUUAUUCGGAAUUAUUGGGCGUAAAGGGCGCGUAGGCGGCUUGGCAAGUGGAAGGUGAAAUCCCUCGGCUCAACCGAGGAACUGCCUUCUAAACUGCUUUGAUUGAGUCCGGGAGAGGUCAGUGGAAUUCCCAGUGUAGCGGUGAAAUGCGUAGAUAUUGGGAGGAACACCAGUGGCGAAGGCGGCUGACUGGACCGGUACUGACGCUGAGGCGCGAAAGCGUGGGGAGCAAACGGGAUUAGAUACCCCGGUAGUCCACGCCGUAAACGAUGAAUGCUUGGUGUAGCGGGUAUCGACCCCUGCUGUGCCGAAGUCAACACAUUAAGCAUUCCGCCUGGGGAGUACGGUCGCAAGGCUGAAACUCAAA
rnacentral:rRNA from 1 species